rnacentral:rRNA from 1 species
AUGAACGCUGGCGGCGUGCCUAAUACAUGCAAGUCGAGCGAACAGACGAGGAGCUUGCUCCUCUGACGUUAGCGGCGGACGGGUGAGUAACACGUGGAUAACCUACCUAUAAGACUGGGAUAACUUCGGGAAACCGGAGCUAAUACCGGAUAAUAUAUUGAACCGCAUGGUUCAAUAGUGAAAGACGGUUUUGCUGUCACUUAUAGAUGGAUCCGCGCCGCAUUAGCUAGUUGGUAAGGUAGCGGCUUACCAAGGCGACGAUGCGUAGCCGACCUGAGAGGGUGAUCGGCCACACUGGAACUGAGACACGGUCCAGACUCCUACGGGAGGCAGCAGUAGGGAAUCUUCCGCAAUGGGCGAAAGCUUGACGGAGCAACGCCGCGUGAGUGAUGAAGGUCUUCGGAUCGUAAAACUCUGUUAUUAGGGAAGAACAAAUGUGUAAGUAACUAUGCACGUCUUGACGGUACCUAAUCAGAAAGCCACGGCUAACUACGUG